rnacentral:rRNA from 1 species
CUACGGGAGGCAGCAGUGGGGAAUAUUGGACAAUGGGCGCAAGCCUGAUCCAGCCAUGCCGCGUGAGUGAUGAAGGCCCUAGGGUUGUAAAGCUCUUUCACCGGUGAAGAUAAUGACGGUAACCGGAGAAGAAGCCCCCGGCUAACUUCGUGCCAGCAGCCGCGGUAAUACGGAAGGGGCUAGCGUUGUUCGGAUUUACGUGGGCGUAAAGCGCACGUAGGCGGUACUUUUAAGUCAGGGGUGAAAUCCCCGGGGCUCAACCCCGGAACUGCCUUUGAUACUGGAAGUCUUGAGUAUGGUAGAGGUGAGUGGAAUUCCGAGUGUAGAGGUGAAAUUCGUAGAUAUUCGGAGGAACCACCAGUGGCGAAGGCGGCUCACUGGACCAUUACUGACGCUGAGGUGACGAAAGCGUGGGGAGCAAACAGGAUUAGAUACCCUGGUAG